rnacentral:rRNA from 1 species
UCGACGCUUCUUUCCUCCCGAGUGCUUGCACUCAAUUGGAAAGAGGAGUGGCGGACGGGUGAGUAACACGUGGGUAACCUACCCAUCAGAGGGGGAUAACACUUGGAAACAGGUGCUAAUACCGCAUAACAGUUUAUGCCGCAUGGCAUAAGAGUGAAAGGCGCUUUCGGGUGUCGCUGAUGGAUGGACCCGCGGUGCAUUAGCUAGUUGGUGAGGUAACGGCUCACCAAGGCCACGAUGCAUAGCCGACCUGAGAGGGUGAUCGGCCACACUGGGACUGAGACACGGCCCAGACUCCUACGGGAGGCAGCAGUAGGGAAUCUUCGGCAAUGGACGAAAGUCUGACCGAGCAACGCCGCGUGAGUGAAGAAGGUUUUCGGAUCGUAAAACUCUGUUGUUAGAGAAGAACAAGGACGUUAGUAACUGAACGUCCCCUGACGGUAUCUAACCAGAAAGCCACGGCUAACUACGUGCCAGCAGCCGCGGUAAUACGUAGGUGGCAAGCGUUGUCCGGAUUUAUUGGGCGUAAAGCGAGCGCAGGCGGUUUCUUAAGUCUGAUGUGAAAGCCCCCGGCUCAACCGGGGAGGGUCAUUGGAAACUG